rnacentral:rRNA from 1 species
CCCAGGUCAGGCGAGGCCACCCGC